AACUGUUUACUGCCUCCUUAAGAGCAAAUCUUGAAAAUUUGUGUGUGGUUACAGACUUUUGUGUGAGGUUUUGAAAGUUAGGUUGGCGACUCUAGGCCGAGAAGCUCAGAAAACUGUUUACUGCCUCCUUAACUGUACAUUCUACAGGGAUAUACGAACUGAUAUGUUCAGUGACCAACUUAACAAAAAUAACUUUACCGUAUUGAGUGAUAGUGAUAAACUGGUACAGCUCGUAAACAAUUAUCCUCGUAAAGUUGCAAAAUUUAUUGUUAAAAGCUACUUAAAGAGGAGAAAAGCAAUAUAUAACACCAGAUAAAUUAAAACCAAAUAAUAUGAGUAGAAAAUUUACUUAUUUUUCAGUAUAUUUAUAUGUAUUUCUGUCUAUUGAGUUUAAACAGUAUUUAUUAGAUAUUUCUGUGUAUUUGCAUUUACAUUCAUGAUACGGUGAUAAGUGCUUGUUAUUACUAUGUUGUAGUAGGAGUGAUAUUUAAAUUAUUGAUUAUCUCUCUUUAAAGUUUCAGAAAAAUGCUCAUUUCAUGUGACAUUACGCAUGUUCUUUGUAUUACAUGGAUGGUGACUUAUAAGCCCAUUGGGCCGGGUGUGUUUAACUGUUAAAUAUUGUAUGUUAUUAUGUUUAUAUGCUCACACAGGUCACGUUAAUAAACAAAUUUCUUAUCUUAUCUUAUCUUAUUCUAGUUAAACUAUUCUCGUUCGAGCUAGACAUGAGCCGAGCAAAAUAGUGCUCAUUAUCAACAAUGUUUGCAUCCUGAAGAAAUGAUUGUCGUUCAUGGUUAAAAUAUGUACAUUUAAGCAGAUAAUGCUGUUCCGAGCCUAUAAGGCCGGAGUCACAGAGCCUGCAAAUAUUAUCAAGGAAGGCUGUCGCACCCCAGCGGGCUGUUUCAAUUGGAAGGCGGUGGUUACAUGUUCUAUACUUAAACAUUCUAAUAAAGUGUUCUUUUGGAAGAAUUUUAAGAUCCAUAUGUCAAAAUUGGUGCAACUGUAUGGUCGAAAAGUUUAAUGGUUAAGUCUGGUGGCAAAUCAGCAUUAUUUGUUUUAGUAAAGAGGAGAUAAAGGGCCUUUUCAGCCUGUUGGCUCACAUGUUGUCGAGCUUUUAGAAACGAUCCUGAUGCAGAGAAAGUUAGUCCAAGGUAAUGAUACUUAUCGGUUUUCUCGAUAACGUUAUUUCCUAAUGAAAAUUGAAAGCGUGCAACAUUUCUGGCACCAAAAAUGAUACUUUUUGUUUUGUUUGGGUUCACAACAAGUUUCCACUGAUUACAAUAAUUUUUAAAACAGUUUAGGCAAUUUUGAAAAUCUACAGCGUUAUUUGAAACUAAAAUGGUGUCGUCUGCGUAGAGUAAAAUAAGCAGUCUAAGCCAAGUUUGAUCAUUGAAAAUAUCAUCAUAAUAGGCAAGUGAUGCAAGAUAAAUUAAGUCUAUCAACCUUUAAUUAAUUGGCAACAUUCUCUUGCAUGUUUUAGUAUAUUUUGUCCUUAUAAUGAUAAACUGUACAUGUUCAAAUUAUAUCAAUAAAUUGAAAUAAUAACAAAUUCUCGAUUAUCUAGUAAGUCGAAAUGGUUUGAUGAAUCUUGUUACAUAUAGCAAAAAAAAUAAUUUCAAGAAAGCAAGAAAUACAUUUGUGAAAGACAAAAAUGAGGGAAAUAGAAUUAAUUUUACAAGCAUGCGUACUAAGUAUAAUAGAAUAAGAAAAAAAAAAAGGAUAAAUAUGGUACGCUACUGGUUCCGUUUACUGAAUUCUAAUGAAAACUCACUACAAAAAAGAAUUUAUCAUAUGCUGCGUAACAAUGCAAAAAUUAACAUAACUGUACUUAAAAUAAUUCAAACUGGGCGUUUCAAAUAUAAACGCUGUUAGAAAACCUGGGAUUUUCGGGUAUAUGGAUAAGUCAUGAUAGUAACAGUAAUUAUUUAUCUACAGAGAAUAUUGGACAAUUAUUAUCAAACUUGAUAUGCUAACAUUAACAAUUCUCAACGAUUACUCUCUUUUAGUAGAUUUAAACAUUCCUUUAAUCUUGAAAAAUACUUAAAUAUAAUUGAAGAUAAAAAAUUUCGAAUUGCUCUUAGUAGAUUUAGAUUAUCAUCACAUAAUUUUGAAAUAGAAAGAGGUAGAUAUCACUUUCUUCUUGUAUGUCCGUUGUAUAAAGAAUUACGAAGAAAAUAUUUAAAACCAUUUUACUGUAGAUGGCUAACUCUGUAUGUGAUAAUCUGAUGUCUACAUCAAAUAAAAAGGAAUUACUGAAUCUGUCAAAGUUCAUUUAUUUUGCAAAUAAACUUAGACAAGAUAUUGACAGUUAGUUUCAUUUUUGAAGCAACAUCAUUUUUGAGUGAUGAGUAUAAUUUUGUUUGUUUUUGAUUUCCAUAAGAUCAGUCAAGGUUUAGAUUAAUUAAAGCUUAAUAUACUACAGGUUAGCCAGUUAAUCCAUUUAUAUUUUAACACUUAUUCCUGUCAAUCAAAAGGUGUUGAUUAAAUCAUAACACCCAUGAAGAGUUUAAAAUAUUGACUA
rnacentral:lncRNA from 1 species